GUUAAACGAAAUAUCCAAAUGCCGAAGGUUAGUGAGAUCCCGGAAACUAUCGGCAGAGAUCCAAGUCAAAUUGUUGUCCCAAAGAACCAGCUUUUUCAACAUCACGAGACCAGCCAAGCCGAAUUGAUCGAUCAUGGUGUUCGCCAAGCGAUACAAGCUCGAUGCAGUUGUAUGUACUUGAGUCGCUUCGACUUAAUUUUCCCACCGCACACUGUCCAUGUUGAGUAGCAGCAGCAGUUAUCCAAUGGACAAAGCCGAAGACAAGUAACCAUCCGCAAAAUCCGACCAUCGUUGGGCACACGAAGUUUGACUUUUUAAUUGCCCUUCUUUUACGAACGACUAACCGAAGCACAAUGAGCAAAGCGAUAGCCCAGAAUCCCAAACAUAACGGAAGUUCGGUAAUGGCAUCGUUAUCGCGUUAUCACGUAAUUCAGGGUGGACAACAUCCUCCUACGAUUUCCUGUUUCGUAGUAUGUGGGCAUACGAUAGCUGGCAUUCACAUCGAAUCAUGUUCGAGAAUUUUUUAAUUCUGCUAUUCCAUCAUUUGAACGUACUGUGAAUAAGCGAAGUGAGAAAAAAUUUGAGAACGAAUCCUCUUAAUUGGACGAAUGAUGUUUCAAUUUUUUUUUUGCCUAGUAAAUGUUCGGGCUCAUCGAACUAAAGCACCGUUGAAUCCACUAUUUUCCAGUUUAACUAUCAACGUAUUUCUCUUGAUGAAUAUUUUCUCAGGUAUAGAAAAUCGAAUAUUGAAUUAAUUUUGGAUCUUGGAAAAUGAACUUUUGCAGCGACCGAAGAGGGCAAAGAACGAGGAAAAUCAGGCACGAUUCUCGAAACCACAUUCGAAGGAUUACUAGGAGUCGACGAAUAAAUCGUUCUACGGUUUUGAAGAUUCAAUAAAUCGACCUUUAUUACAAACA